rnacentral:lncRNA from 1 species
UCCGGUCGACAUUGCUUCGUGCCCCCACCACCCUUGAUCGCUGAAGCACUGCUGCACUGGCCCGGAGCCGUGACAGAGUGAAUAAGCUGAGUCGAGUUUGCUUGUCUCCGUACGUAGUUUGAGCUCCUGCAGAUAAAUAGCUUUAAUUGUAGUAAUAAUAUGGUUUUGGUUAUUGGUGAGAGGACAAUGACAGUGUAAUUCAAUCACCGUCCCUUUAAUGCACUACUAUCUAGCUUAUUACCUUGGAAGCAAAUCGAGUACAUUUUUAGAGCAUUAUCGGAAGCAUUAAUAUUUUAUUUGUUUUUUUGUUUUCGAAAAGCAUCUAAUAGUUAAAAAGUUUUGUUUACUAAUAUGUGAUGCAGUUGAUUAACAGAAAGUAUGAAGUAUAAUCAUAAAAUAUGAAAAAUAGUAAAAUGUUUAAUUAGCUUAGAUUAUGUAUUGCUUAAGAGUAAUAAUAUUCACCGAUUUACAAACAAACUAGCCUAAACCACUAGCUUUUUGUCAAUUCAUCAACUAUAAAGACGCUAAACUUCUAUUAAUGUGUUUCCAAAAGUAUCAAGCUUAAUAUUUUAAAUAUGUUUCUAUUGCGGCGGUUACUAUUGCAAUUUUAUACCACAAAUAAAGAGGAGACUGAAAAAUACUUUUUGAAUAUUUUUAGGAUAUUGAAUUUUAAUUUUUAAAAAGGUAGAAAGAAAAAAAAAAAAAAACCAACUAUUGAAUCUCAUUUGAUUAUCCAUACAUUUAAUUGGACGGUGGGGAUAAAAGUCCAGGAUGAGAUAGAGGGUGGAUGGAUUGAAGUUGCACAGAAGUAAAUACGCACUCGGUCCACGCAAUAGUUUCUCUUUCCAGAGGUCGAUCCUCCUCGCUGCUGCGCCUCACACUCUCGUCCUCGCUCCCGAUCAAUCCCCCACCCCACUCUCUG